ACGGAGAAAAACCUUCUAGAGUAAGGCUUGUUGGUUGUAAGAUUCUUUGUAGCCUUCUCUCAGCCUACACAAAUAAUAGCUAGUUCUUCACUAUUAAAACAUCUCCAAAAGUUUGCUAUCUCUACCUGGCAUCAAUAAAUUUUUGAUAAAACAUGAAAAAACAUUCACCAACAAUUUGGCAUCUCAACUUGGUAAAAAUAGGAAGUUGGCAUAUUUCGGCCUUGUUUAGAGCAUCUCCAACAAUUUGCUAAAAAACUUUUGCCAAAUCUUAUGUUUUGACAAGUUGCUAAAAGAUUUGGCAAGUAAAAUAAUUUGUCAUCUCCAACAAGUUGCCAAUUGAACUUGCCAAAUUAUAAAAAAAAACAGGCCCACCACUAAACUACCAACUACCAAAUUGAUGGAUCCAUCCUUCCUCCGCGCCCUUUGUCUGCUCGCAAGGGUUCUGUUGUCCGUCGCGCCGCCGUGUCGUACAGCGCACGGCCAGCCACCUCUUCCUUCCACGGUGUACAAGUGACCAAGCCAGCCAUCUCCAAGAUCUCCUCCUCCACGAUCAGCUAUCAGUACCAGCACAUGUCAUCGCUAUCGAGCAGCACCACAGCACCUCUGCAGCAACAAGUAGGCCGGCAGGUUUCGAGGCAACACAAACUUUUCUGUCAAUUCCUGCUGGUGACAAGACAGGGAGCAGCUCAACAUGGGCCUUGUUUAGUUCCGAAAAGUGAAAAGUUUUCGGUACUGUAGCACUUUCGUUUGUUUGUGAAAAAUAUUAUCUAAUCAUAGACUAACUAGGAUUAAAAGAUUCGUCUCGUGAUUUACAGCUAAACUGUAUAAUUAGUUUUUGUUUUCGUCUAUAUUUAAUGUUUCAUGCAUGUGCCACAAGAUUCGAUGUGACGGAAAAUCUUGAAAAUUUUUUGAUUUUCAGGGUGAACUAAACAAGGCCAUAGAAUAUGCAAGCGAAUCUUGGCAGCAGCUCGGCA
rnacentral:lncRNA from 1 species